AAGUCGUAACAAGGUUUCCGUAGGUGAACCUGCGGAAGGAUCAUUAACAAAUUCCAACACUCGUGUUCUUCAGUUGGGCAGUAAGGUCUCCGGGCCCCUGACUAGCUGAAGAUUCUACACACACUUACACUUACUUUACAACAACAAUUACAACCAAAAGAUAUCAAUGUGAAAAACAACUUUUAACAAUGGAUCUCUUGGCUCUU
rnacentral:misc_RNA from 1 species